rnacentral:rRNA from 1 species
UACGUAGGGGCCAAGCGUUGUCCGGAUUUAUUGGGCGUAAAGAACUCGUAGGCGGUUGGGUAAGUCGGGUGUGAAAACUCCAGGCUCAACUUGGAGAUGCCACCCGAUACUGCUCUGACUUGAGUUCGGUAGGGGAGUGGGGAAUUCCUGGUGUAGCGGUGAAAUGCGCAGAUAUCAGGAGGAACACCGGUGGCGAAGGCGCCACUCUGGGCCGAAACUGACGCUGAGGAGCGAAAGCGUGGGUAGCAAACAGG